GCUAACGCAGGGAACUGAAACAUCUUAGUACCUGCAGGAAAAGAAAAUAAUAAUGAUUCCCCAAGUAGUGGCGAGCGAACGGGGAUUAGCCCAAACCAAUGUUGUUACGGCAAUAUUGGGGUUGUAGGACCACGAUGUCGCAAGAACUUUAGUGAGAAGAAUUCUUUGGAAAAUGAAACCAUAGACGGUGAUAGUCCGGUAUUCGAAGCUAAACGAAGCGUAGUGGUAUCCUGAGUAGCGCGGGACACGAGGAAUCUUGCGUGAAUCUGCCGGGACCAUCCGGUAAGGCUAAAUACUCCCGAGAGACCGAUAGCGAACCAGUACUGUGAAGGAAAGGUGAAAAGCACUUCGAAUAGAAGAGUGAAAUAGUCCCUGAAACCGUGCGCCUACAAGCGGUCGGAGCAGCGUAAGUUGUGACGGCGUGCCUUUUGCAUAAUGAACCUACGAGUUACUUUUUCCGGCAAGGUUAAGCAUUUCAAAAUGUGUAGCCGAAGCGAAAGCGAGUCUGAACAGGGCGAUUAGUCGGAAGGAGUAGACGCGAAACCAAGUGAUCUACCCUUGGUCAGGUUGAAGGUUAGGUAACACUAACUGGAGGACCGAACCGAUAAGCGUUGAAAAGCUUCCGGAUGAACUGAGGGUGGGGGUGAAAGGCUAAUCAAACUUGGAGAUAGCUCGUACUCCCCGAAAUGCAUUUAGGUGCAGCCUUGGGAAUUACUACUGUGAGGUAGAGCGACUGAUAAGAUGCGAGGGCUUCACCGCCUAUCAAGUCUUGAUAAACUCCGAAUGCGCAGUAGUUCGAUCCCAGGAGUGAGGGCAUGGGUGCUAAGGUCCAUGUCCUAAAGGAGAAGAAUCCGGACCAUCAGCUAAGGUCCCGAAAUAAUUGCUAAGUUGAACUAACGAAGUCAGAUUGCUAAGACAGCUAGGAUGUUGGCUUGGAAGCAGCCAUUCAUUUAAAGAGUGCGUAACAGCUCACUAGUCGAGGAGUUUGGCGUGGAUAAUAAUCGGGCAUUAAGCAAUUUACCGAAGCUAUGGGAUCAGUAAUG
rnacentral:rRNA from 1 species